rnacentral:tRNA from 1 species
UGAGACAUAAGUUAAAUAAACUAUAUGAUUCAUGAUCAUAAAAUACUUUUUAAGUUGUCUUAA